UCUCAACACAUUUUCUCUAUUCUGUUGUCUCGAAAAUGAGAAACUCUAACAGCCAUCUUGGGCCACCAGGCUGAGGAUCACAUACAAGUGAUGGCAGAAGGGUAGGAUGGAAGGAACGGGAGUUGCUAACAAAUUCAUACGUCUGUCAUGUCAACACUGCACUGCCUAUCUUGGGAUUUCUAAGUGAGAAACUCCUCAUCACUAUUUGCAGAAUCUAAGUCACAUGAGGGAAGAAAGAUAUUUUGGAGUCUCUACUAAAUACAUACCCAGGAUAAUGUUUGGCAGGAAAUGUCCAAACGUCAGCAUCAUUCUCAACAGUUGCAACCUUAUUGUGACAGAAAAUACAGAGCUACAGUAUUAAAAGGCUAAAUAAUUCAAGAAUAGUCUAA
rnacentral:lncRNA from 1 species